UACGUAGGGGGCGAGCGUUGUCCGGAAUUAUUGGGCGUAAAGAGCGUGUAGGCGGUCCGGUAAGUCAGCUGUGAAAGUCAAGGGCUCAACCCUUGAAUGCCGGUUGAUACUGUCGGGCUAGAGUCCGGAAGAGGCGAGUGGAAUUCCCGGUGUAGCGGUGAAAUGCGCAGAUAUCGGGAGGAACACCAAUUGCGAAGGCAGCUCGCUGGGACGUCACUGACGCUGAGACGCGAAAGCGUGGGGAGCAAACAGG
rnacentral:rRNA from 1 species